AAAAUAUCCUUUAUUCCAUUGUGUAAAGAGGGUCAUUGUCAGAUGUGGAGGGGUUCAUAUCAAACAAAAAGGUCUCCGAGGCUGAAGAGACAGAUUCUUAGAUUACUUCUUGCCAUCCUUUCUAAAGAAUAACAAGACCUUGAUAACAGGAGCAUGAUACUUCCUUAACUGUUGAGAUUUGACAUUUAUUCCAAUUUUUUCAAGUCAGGUUUGUUUUUUUUUUCUUUCAUACUACUCUCAGAUUUUAGAGUGGAAAUGACUCUGCAGAUCUUUACUCCUUCAAAGGGUGCCCAGAGACGACAUGUAAAGAGUUGUUAACCUCUCCUUUAUCUCAUUUUUUCAUGGCUCUUCUUUCAUAUUUUGAUUUCACCAGUCAGACCAAAAACUUUCUGUUUGAUUUGCACUUUUUCAUUUCAAAAGAGAAACUCAUCUCUCUGAAUACCUUUUUCUAUUUUUUUUCAAGGAAGUUUAUACUGAGAUUUCAUAUUACAGUGACUAUUAUUUAAAGGAAUUCUUACAUGUCCAUUGAGAAUAAACUAAUAACUAUAAGUUGGACUAUCCUUUAUGAAGCAACUUACGUUUGUCUGACAGAAAUUCACAUCUUGUAAAUGUCAACGAACUCCUGAGGAUGUUAUAUCACAAAGUCAUAAAUGCCCUCCAGUUCACGGGAUGAAGGCUUUAAAUGGCCUGCAGAGCCAUUCAAGGUCCCCUUUAUGUGAUGGAAAAAAUCUCAUUUUUUGUGAACACUUAUAUGUAGGUGUUGCUCUGAGUUUAACAUUUGAAUCAUUUGUCAAAAUAAAAUUGAAUAGUAUGGUGGUUCAAUAACACAAACGUUUGCCUUUACCACACUUAGAACAUGUCUUCUUAGCUCUGGAGACCUAAAACUAAAAGUCACAAGUAUAAAAAUAUGUCUAUUAAUUUUAUUUUUUUUUUAGUUACAACUAUUAUGAUCACAAGCUGUAUCUGUGGAGACGUUUUUAGUGACUAACGGUUUCUUAGGAAGAAGAUUGAACAAAAAUAUGUUGAAAGAAAGAGCAGAUGAGAUUUUGUCCUCAUCCCACCAGCUUCUGACAGAGAGACUAUGAUCACUGGAUAUAGUUUUCUGCCAUGUCAGGGAUAUACAAAAGGUGACCACACAUGUUAAUUUACCCUGGCACUUUUGGAUAAUUUUAUACUUCUUCUCCUCCUAAUCCUUAGGAGGAUUUUCCCAUAAUUUUCUUAAAGCUAAAAUUUUUAUAUAUUCAACCAAAUGGGACAUUACAAAAUUGUCCUUUACAAAACAUACUUCUCUUCUGGAGGCUGGGGUUUCUUCUCUGUUAGUCUGGUACUUUGUAGGCAACACUUAUGGCUCGACUAAACCAGUCCAUUUACUCCAAAAUUAAUGGAAUAUGUGUUGGCCUGAUUAUUGCGGGUUCAUUUGUGGCAAAGCUGCUCUCCUUCUCUACUGUAUUCUCUGUAUUUUGUCCUUCUUUUGUAUUUCAAACUGAUUUUAUAGCAGGAGUCCUUGGGCUUAGUAUCUUGUUUUUCUUUCUUUUUCUAUUGCAGAAUGCCAUUCAAAUUGUAGAUUCAAGUUCUCAAGGUCAUCCAUUGCUUCCUCUGUGUUUACCUCGAUCUUUGCUAUUGAUAAUGCCUCUCAAAUUUUCUUCAGUGACAGUAUUCAUUAGCAUAGUCCUACUUUUGGUGGCAAAGGACAUUAACAAAAAUGCUCAUUAAGUGGCAAGAUCAUUUCUGCACUGGUACUCUUUGUUCAGUAACUCCUGCUUUAAAACAUGAUGGGUGCAAAACCUUCUUUAUUUUUGUGUCUUCUUUCAUUCUCUCCAUUCAUAUUCAUUAGAAACUUUUCAUGUGUCAUUUCUCAAGGAUAUUUCUGUAGCCUAGAUAUGUUCAGCAUAUUGCACAUCUUUUUUCCUCUAGACCAGUUCCUUUAUCAAAGGUAUACAAUAUGAAAUUGCAACAUGCAAAGCUUCAAAAUUAUAGUAAGAAUGGAUAUGUACCACAGAAAGCAAAAUAUUGUAAAUGCAACUCAAAUGCCUAUUUUGUGACACUAAGAUAUUAAGUUGUAUAUUCUCUGAAAAUAGUUUGCUUUGGUGACUAGUAUUAUAUUUACUAGGUUGUUACAACUCCCACAGAAGUAGAAACCUCAAUUUUUGCACUUGGUAAGAGGAAACCAAUCUGAUUUCACUCAGCACAGCUGUCGGAACACUGAGACAUCAGGGGAAGUACUUCUCACCACCAAUAAGCUCUGAGAAGUAUUUUAAAGCAAAGCUUUAAUUACAUUUGUCAUUUCUGAGUGUCUAGCCCAAAAGAAUUUAGCUUUGAUGUUGCAGCAUGAACACAAUGCAGUUAUCAUGCUGAGAUUUUUACCUUGUAGAAAAUCAAGUGGGAGAAAAUUUAAGUCUAAAAAGUAUAUUAUGUGUAAGUAAAUGAACUAGAAAUAUGCUGAUAUUGGAGAUACCUUAUUACUCAGAAGUCUAAAUUAACUUUGUAUUUUAUCAGAGAAAAACAAAGAAAUGUUAUUUUUGUUAAGUUGAAAUGUUUGGUCUAUAAAUUACAAUUAGGUUAGUAAGCUUCCAGAAAAUAAAGUUGUGGUAAUGAGAGCACAGAGCUAAGUGUACUGUUACACUUAGUAUAAAUGAACAUUUUGUUCCUGCAAGUAUCAGAUGCCCUGUGUUAAGCCUGAGUUAGGAAAUGUGUGCAGAAUAUAAACACAUCCCCCAGUGUGCUCUGCUGGACCUGUGGAUACAUGUAAUAAUUUUUGAGUAUCUGGCCCUAGCUAAUUUGUGGUAGACUUGUACCAUAUCUAUUGUAGAAGUGGGAGGUGUUAGCAGAUGAGGCACAUUCAGUGAGGAGAGAGGUAAUGCCAGUGGUGUUGGCAGUAAAAGCAGCACAGUGUCAAAGCCUGGAAACAGGCUCAUUUGAGCAGAUAAUGGGCACCCAGAUGAAGAUGUGUAAACAGGUAAUUCUGCCUGUCCUGAAAAACUGUCAGGUACAAAGGCAUGAUUGAUGGGAGGGCACAUCACAACAAUAAGCAUGUAAUGGAGCUGAAAAGUUACAACUGUUCCGGUGAGUAGAUGACAUUCUUGUUGGAGGUGAUUUAAAGGGAAAGAAUGUGAGUGUUUAAUAUCCAAAUCAUCCUGAGCACUUUAACUCUUUAGUUUGUACAUUUCAACAGUGGACUGGGCUGGCUUCCACAGUGAAGAUGACACAAGCAGAUGCACAGUGUCCUAGAGAUGGUCCCAUGGCUUGAGCAAGAGGGAGGAAUUACUUUGUCUUUAUUACAUUGUACCUAUCAACUUGAGAUGGAAUGCAGGGAAGGUGAGCAGAAUGAAGCCUCCCAUAAUCCAAAGGGAAAUGAUCAGUGACCCUGCUACACCACACACACACAGAGAAGAUUGUGGAGCCAGAUCCCAGGAAUCCAUCCAAGGCUACUGAAUGAGAUGGUGGAAGCGCUUGCCAAGACUCUCUGUGUGAUUUAUCAACAGCCACAGCUCACUGGUGUGGUCCCACUUGACUGGAAAUAGGACACCCAUCUACAAGAAGGGCUGGAAUACGGAUCUAGGGAGUUACAGGCCUGUCACCCUGACCUUGGUUCUAAGGAAAUUGCUGGAAUAGAAAAUUUUGAGUACCAUCACACAGCAGGUGCAGGACAACCAGCGCAUGAGGCCCAGACAGCAUGAGGCUGGAUGGCCUGGCCCAGAGAGAGGUGGUGAAUCGUGCCACAUCCAACUAGAAGCUAGUCACAAGUGGGUAUUUUUCACAAGUAGUUCUUCAGGGCUCAAUAUUUGGGUCAGUUCUGCUUAAUAUCUUUAUCAAUAAUCUGAAUGAGGGAAUCAAGUACACCCUCAUUUUGCAGAUGCUACCAAAUUGGGAAGGAGUGUCAGUCUGCUGAAGGGUAGGAAGGGGCUACAGAAAGAUCAGGGCAGGCCUUAGAUCUCAGGAUCCUUCUCCUUUUUAAUUUUGUCAAUUUUUACAAGUCCAUUUUCAAGCUAUUUUCUCACAAAAAAAAAAAACGUCAGCACCUUUCCUGCCUACCCUCAUCGCUACUGAAGAAGUAUCUUCCACACACAGGUUCAAGACACUGAUUCGCAUUCUUCCCAGGAACUCAUAUUCUACCCAUCUGUGCAAUGCAAUCUUUUGUCUUCUGGCCAGUGCCACUGAAGAGCAGUUCCAUAUGAAAAGGCAGACCACCAAGAGAUCCCUUUUUUCUAUCAAUUAAUCAUCUGUUCAACUUAUGAAACAGUCUGACAAUUAAAAAAGGAAAGCUGUAUACAUGGUAUAGCUGCAUUUUAAAAUCAAAACAUUUCCUGGCCUAUAGAACACAUCCUUCAGAGUGUAACAGAGUUCAGAUGAGUUGGAACAUGCUGUUUCUUCUCUUGUGUUGGCAAACCUGCUCCUCCAGAGUGCACUGACCUCUGUGAAAUAGCUCCGAAGGGUCCUGAAUUGCCUGAAUAUUUGCAGCAAUGUCCAGAGGAGUAUGCUGCUAUCCAUAUAUUUUUCAUUCCUUGGCCACUUGGAUCAGGGAGAUUCUGACUUGGGCCAGCCAAAGUUGGGUCCUGAGGGAUGCAGAUUUGUCAGCAUGGCAAUCAGAGCUGAGAAGCAGGCACAUUUGAGGGACUGCAGUGAGAACAACUGAUGUACUCUGUGUGGGCAUCUAAUAUCCUGUCUUGGCUAGGAGAGCAAGAUUCUUCCAUGCAUCUGCAUUUGCAGGCACAGACUGGUGUGCAGACCUGGAAGUGACUCAGAAGAAAGAUGAGACUGACACAUUUGUUGGCUAACAGUCAGUCAUCCUGCAGCUCUUCAUCUGGAAACAGAGUUGGGAACCCAUUCUGCAUGCAAGGUCGCUGUGAUUUUGGCUGUCAAACACAGGAAGGAUGCCUCCAUUCAGAAUGAAUGAUCUCAUCUCUGGUGCUCAAUCCAAAGGACAAGGGACAUUUCAGGUGAUUUGUGAUUGCAUUAUAUUGACUAUGAGCAAUGUUAGAAACAUUCCAGUUUAUAUUUUGAUGGAGGAGAUCACCUUCUCUCUCUGGACAUAUUGUGCAGCUCUCUUUACUGUUGCCAAAAGGUUUUUGUUCAUAAAAGGCAGCAGCUGGACAUCAAUAUUUGUUUUCCUCCUGCAUGCAUAGUCAUAAAAUAAGAGGGGCAUUGAAGAUUGGGUCUGCACACAUACAGGGAACCACUAGAGGCCAUCAUAUAUCUCUCUGUAUAAGCACUAAUGGGUUUAACUUUUAAUGCACAACAUUAAUACACAGAAACCUGUUAUGUCCAUAAAGGUAUAAUAGCCACUGCUGGGAUCUCAGAAAUGGAAAGGAUAAGACAAAAGUGCAGGCUCCAUUGGACAUAGAAAAAUAAAAAAUUAAAUUUAAAAAAAUAAAAAAGAGAGAUGAGAAAGAGACAUUUGUAAAAUAAUGUUUAAGGAAUUAAGGCUGGAAGUAAUGUAUAUGGCUUUACUUUACCAACAGCUAUAACAGAAGGAGAAGCACUUUCCCUGCAUAAUAAAAGUGAGAGAGUCCACUGCAAUUGCUUGUGAGCAGGUGGUUGCUGAAGAAGUGUUUUUCACACAUUAACAGCAAAGCCAAGUGUCUGUGUGCAGUUUGGUAUCCAGGUAACAUUACCAGAAUUAUUUCUUUCCCAGAACUAAGAACUAAACAGUAUGGCUUUGACCUCCAAAUGUGUUUGAUGGCUCACAGCAGGCUUCUAGUUCUUUGCAUCUAUUACAACGAAUUAUCUGGCAUAAUUUGUCACGUCUAUUUGUUUCCCAAGGAAGACAUAUUAAGGUACAAUUAAAAUGGAAAUGUAAAUGUAAACAAGGAAGAGUAUUUGUACUUUCUAAUGAAUUUAUAAAUCCUAUCAUAUUGUAAUCACACUCUGUCUUUCCAUUUGGUCCCAUUAAAGUCAGCAUGACGGCAUUUGACAUCAGCAGGAAAUUCAUCCACCCCUUUGCAUUAAUACUUUCUCAUCCAUGGCUAAUUUUCUAUAUCUGUAUUACUGUAAUGCCUUGGAGUUGUCUUCUAUGGACAGAGCUGGACUGUGCCAGGCACG